ensembl:lncRNA
UCACAUAGCUUGGUAACCACAGCCCACUAAGUCUCUGACUAGUCUCCACUGACUCCUCUGUUUCCAGGGGGAUAGUUAUGAUCUCAUAGGGUUGUGAUGAGGCUUCUGUGAAGUUCAGGGAAAGUUCCUAAAGCAGUGGCCACUGCUUGAUACAAAAGUCUCUUUGCUCCAGCUGGGCAUGGUGACUUACGCCUACACAUUUUGGGAGGCCGAAGUAGGCAUAUCACUGGAGACCAGGAGUUCAAGACCAGCCUGGCCAACAUGGUGAAAACCCAUCUUUACGAAAAUUACAAAAAUUAGCUGGGUGCGUUAGCACAUGCUUGGAAUUCCAGCUACUCAGGAGGCUGAGGCGUGAGAAACACUUGAACCUGGGAGGUGGACGUUACAAUGAGCUGAGCUCACCCCACUGCACUCCUGCCUGGGUGACAGAAAUAGACUCCAUCUCAGAAAAAAAGAAAACAAAACAAAACUUCGCUCUUUUCAUCAAUAAUUAAUCAUAAAAAGAAGAAGAAUGGUUCUAUUAUUAAUAGUAGAAGAAAAUACUUCUAAUAGAAUUAGAAUAGAAUUAUUCUUCUAUAAUAAUUAUAAAAAGAAGGAAAAUGGUUGUAUUAUUAAUAGUAGAAAAAAUCUGGUGUUGGGGUCUGGCAACAUUGCCCAAGCUGGUCUCAGAACUCCUGGCCUCAAGCGGUCCUCCCACCUCAGACUUUCAAAGCACUGGUAUAACACUGUAAUCCUCUUUUUCUUAAUCAGUCUUACAAGACCAUUAUCAAUUUUAUCAGCCUAUUCAAAUCUCAAACAUUUGGCUUUAUUGAUUCUAUUGCACAUUUUUUUUCUAUUUUAGUAAUUAUGACUCUUGCCUUUGUUAUUCCCUCCCUUUUGUGUCAUUCAUGUUUAUUUUGUCCUUUGUGUAACUGCCGUGGUCUAAUGUUUGUGUCCUCCCCAAAGCUCAUGUGUUGAAAUCCUAACACCUAAUUCAGAUAGGUGUACCUGAAUACGACAAAGAGAAUGAAUCCAAGCUGGAAAAUACUCUUCAGGAUAUUAUUCAGGAAAACUUUCCCAACCUAGCAAGGCAGGACAAUACUCAACUCCAGGUAAUACAGAGAACACCACAAAGAUAUUCCUCAAGAAGAGCAACCCCAAGGCACAUAAUCAUGAGAUUAACCAGGGUUGAAAUGAAGGAGAAAAUACUAAGGGCAGCCAGGGAGAAAAGUCAGGUAACCUACAAAGGGAAGCCUAUCAGACUUACAGCAGAUCUCUUAGCAGAAACACUACAAGCCAGAAGAGAGUGGGGGCCAAUAUUCAACAUCCUUAAAGGAAAGAACUUUCAGCCCAGAAUUUCAUAUCCAGCCAAACUGAGCUUCACAACUGAAGGAAAAAUAAAAUCUUUUAUGAACAAGCAAGUACUCAGAGAUUUUAUUACCACCAGGCCUGCUUAACAAGAGCUUCUGAAAGAAGCAUUAUACAUAGAAAGGAACAACCAGUAUUAGCCUUUCUAAAAAUAUACCAAAAAGUAAAGAGCAUCAACAUAAUGAAGAAUUUACAACAAUGAAUGGACAAAACAGCCAGUUAAUAUCAAAUGGCAGUAAUCCUAAAUUUAAAUCAACUAAAUCCCUCAAUCAAAAGAUACAGCCAAAACCCAGAGGUAUGCUACAUCCAGACCCAUUUCACAUGCAAGGAUACACAAAGACUCAAAACAAAGGGAUGGAGAAAGAUUUACCAACCAAAUGGAGAGCAAAAAUAAAUAAAUAAAUAAAUAAAUAAAUAAAAAGCAGGAGUUGCAAUUCUGACCUCUGAUAAAAUAGAUUUUAAAGCAGCAAAGAUAUAGUGGUUAAAGAUUCAAUGCAACAAGAAGACUUAACGAUCCUAACACCCAGAUACAUAAGACCUAUAAAGAGACUUAGACUCCCUAGACUCCCACACAAUAAUGGUGGGAGAGUUCAACGUCAGUAUUGGAUGGAUUAACGAGACAGAAGAUUGAUGGGCAUGUCCAGGACUUGAACUCAGAUCCGGAACAAGUAAACUUGAUAGGCAUCUAUAGAGCUCUCUACUUUAAAUACAUAAGGUAUACAUCUUGUCAGUGCCACAUCACACGUACUCAUAGGUUUAAAUGAAAUAUUGAUCGGCCAUUAUUAAGCACAAUUAUUGGCAUAAAAGGAGUUUUCAAUACCCAUUUUUAGAAUAAAGCAGCAUUCCCGUUCUCUCUCCUUCUUUUUCUUCCUCUUUCUUCCUCUCCUUUACUCUUUUUUUUUCUUUCCUUCUCUCCUUUCUAAAAAAAAAAAAAAAGAGGAAAAAAAAAAAAAGAAAUCCUAACACCCAAGGUAAUGGAAUUUGGAGGUGGGGCCUUUGGAAGGUGAUAGGCUAUGAGAGUGAAACUGCUCAUGAACGGGAUUAGUGUCCUCAUAAAAGAAGCCCCAAAGAGCUCAUUUGUUCCUUCUGUAAUACUGAUGCAACACGAAGGCAUGUCCACAAACCAGGAAGCUGGCCUUCACUGGGCACUGAAUCUGCCAGCACCUUGACCUGGACUUCCCAGCCUCCAGAACUGUGAGAAAUAAAUUCCUGUUGUUUAUAAGCCAUCCAGUCUAUGGUAUAAUGUGAUAGCAGCCCAAAUGGACAAAGGUACUAACUUACUUAGGUAUUCACACAAUAGCCUCCCUCUAAGAUCUGGGUUCAGGACAUGCCUGUAGGAUCAGUCCCUGUAAGGGAGGGAAACCACCAGGGC